GUCGAGAAUAAUUCACAAUGGACGAAAGUCUGAUGGUGCAACGCCGCGUGGAGGAUGACGGUCUUCGGAUUGUAAACUCCUGUCAUCCGGGAGUAAGACCUGGCUGUGAAUAGCAGACAGGGUUGAUAGUACCGGAAGAGGAAGGGACGGCUAACUUCGUGCCAGCAGCCGCGGUAAUACGAAGGUCCCGAGCGUUGUUCGGAAUCACUGGGCGUAAAGGGAGCGUAGGCGGCGUGGUAAGUCAGAUGUGAAAUCCCGGGGCUCAACCCCGGAACUGCAUCCGAUACUGCCGUGCUAGAGGAUUUGAGAGGUAGCUGGAAUUCUUGGUGUAGCAGUGAAAUGCGUGGAGAUCAAGAGGAACACUCGUGGCGAAAGCGAGCUACUGGACAAUAUCUGACGCUGAGGCUCGAAGGCCAGGGUAGCGAAAGGGAUUAGAUACCCUGGUAGUCC
rnacentral:rRNA from 1 species